rnacentral:rRNA from 1 species
AGUGAACGCUGGCGGUAGGCCUAACACAUGCAAGUCGAACGGCAGCACAGUAAGAGCUUGCUCUUACGGGUGGCGAGUGGCGGACGGGUGAGGAAUACAUCGGAAUCUACUUUUUCGUGGGGGAUAACGUAGGGAAACUUACGCUAAUACCGCAUACGACCUACGGGUGAAAGCAGGGGAUCUUCGGACCUUGCGCGAUUGAAUGAGCCGAUGUCGGAUUAGCUAGUUGGCGGGGUAAAGGCCCACCAAGGCGACGAUCCGUAGCUGGUGUGAGAGGAUGGUCAGCCACACUGGAAGUGAGACACGGUCCAGACUCCUGCGGGAGGCAGCAGUGGGGAAUAUUGGACAAUGGGCGCGAGCCUGAUCCAGCCAUACCGCGUGGGUGAAGAAGGCCUUCGGGUUGUAAAGCCCUUUUGUUGGGAAAGAAAAGCAGCAGGUUAAUACCCCGCUGUUCUGACGGUACCCAAAGAAGAAGCACCGGCUAACUUCGUG